AGACACUUGGCAGGCGGUUGCAUACCUUGGAUGGUGUUGCGGACCAAACCAGAAAUAAAAUUAAACCAAACAUUAUGCAAAUUGAUGGGUAAUGUUAGCUCCAUUGUGAAGCCAAGAAAAAAGAAAAGCAUGCUUAAAGAUCGUCCCAAGUUCUACCUAUGUUGGAGGAGCGAAACAUUUUCUCACCUAGCCUGGCUCGGCCAAUGGAUGAGAGGUGUCUCGCAACUUCUACAUACUUAUUCCACAAGCAGCUAAGGAGCUCAACAUUAGGUUGCUAAAGAAGAAUAGGAGGAGUUGCUAAAAUCGAGAAAGCUUUUACGGACAUUAGAGACCCUAGUUAGCAGCCCAUGCAUGGAAAACUCUAAAUGAUUAGAUAGUUCUUCUAUCAAACCAGCCUCUUGACAUUGGGUGUAAACCGACCUUGAGAUGGACCUUGAGAUGGAUGAUCCUAGACACAUUUAACUGACCUUGAUAAAAACACAUUUGAUUGACCUUGGUGAAAACACAUUCGACUGACCUCGGAUUUCACCGAGGUCCCACCUCAGCAUCUCACCAAAAUUUCUGGAUAGUUUCCUUCAACUAUACAUAUGUGGGCUAGAUUAUCGUGUGUAAUGCCUGUAGAUGAUGCGCAUAAUUGACGCCCAUCAUCAUGCACCUAUCUUUAGUGCAUGCAAUAGAUGUCCACAAUCUUCAGUUAAGUGGGUGCAGAUUCUUCAGUUCCCUUACUGGAUUUAAUAGUAAAAGUCAACUACUCCACCUCUAUAUAAAGGGGAAGAAAGAGAACCCUUGGAUAAAUAUUCUCUCUAAAGAAAAGAAGCCUUCCUCUCUUUCUUUCUUAUUUUUUAUUAUUUUCAAGCUCCGACUAAUUUAAGCAUCGAGGUCCUUCGUCAGAAAAUCUCCGAUGAUUGUGGAUUUUCUUUUAGGUCUCUGAGACAAAGGUGCUUUAGUUCAUCACUGGAUCUUAGGUCGGUAAGAGAUGGACCUCAACCGCACUGACCUGUUGUUUUGCGACAACAACUUAC
rnacentral:lncRNA from 1 species